rnacentral:lncRNA from 1 species
UUAUACUUUACUCAAAAAAUUUGUCUGCCAGAAUAAAACACAACCACGAAAUGGGUGAUGCUUUCGGAUGUACGACGGUUGGUGAUAAUCAGUGGUGGCGGUGGCGAGCGGCAAUACGACGGCAGAUAUACAGUGGUUGAUUAUAAGCAGUGGUGGCAGCAGCGGUGUUCAGAGUACACCAGUAGAUGAUAAUCGGUGGUAGGUCGGUCAGAAGUACAAUCGGUAACCGGAAGCUUGGGACGGAACGUGGAUAGCGAAAUGGGUGUUGCGAAAUGUUGAUGAUUUUGACAAAAGUUGGAUGAUUGGUGAGGGUGAAUGGGUUGAAGAUUGAUUGGAGUAGUUGGAGUGGAGAAGCAUGGUUUUCGGAUGAAGAAAUUGCGGGAGAAAUUCAUGGAAAGAAUGUAGGAGGAAUUCACAAGAAUCCCCAAAUUUUACCGUUAGAUUGGAAUCCACUUGUGAAUUGGAGGGAGGUAAGACACAAAAACCCUAAUU